ensembl:snoRNA SNORA70 Small nucleolar RNA SNORA70
UCACAGCCAAGUAAGCUGACAAGGCUCCUGUUUUCACAGGGACUCAGUGUGCAGUUGGCAGCAAACAGCAGCCUCCUUGCUGGUGCGUACAGUCUGUUACUUGUACAGGUUGCCCUAAGGGACCUUGGAGACAGCC